CGAGGAACGGCGCCUAGCUCGUUCCGCCUCUUCCAACGCGAGUGUGCACCAGCGAAAGUGACCGUGGGGCGUCCCACGCUUCGCGGCCAUUGCGCUGCACGUCAGAGAGGUGUGUUUUUUUUUUCUUUGACAGCUAUGUGCGCAUACACACACUCAAAGAAGUCACCAUCGCAGAGCUUGGUCCAUCUCUCACUGACAUCUUUCCUUCCUCGCUCUUCACCGCGCACUCGCCGCAAGUGCCAAAGUCGUUUUUCUGUUGUUUGCCCAGUACCGUACCGAAGUUGUUUCGCUUGCCAGCGCCCUCGCUGAUCUCGGACUGCACAGUUUCCCCUCCCUCUCUUUAGAUGCCAGCUAUCUCGUAGGCGUCGCUUGUGUCGCAUCUGCUACUGCACCACUGCUUCCCGGUUUCUCUUCCAUUCUUCACUCCAUUUUCGACUGCACCGUACAAAGACCCUUUCUGCAGCCCCCGCGCUGCCUUGGCGUUGUGGUGCCACCUGUAUCCGUGUGGACGUGUUGGUUGUGCCCUGUUCUCUGGGUCUUGCUACUGUUAGCGAAAGCAGCUGCUUGGUGUGAAUCUGCACCGACUCUCUUCCCUCACCCCCUCGUCACCCACCCACCAGCGCGGCGGAAUGGAGACGUCGCCGAAAACGGCGAGUGCCAACGUGGACCUUUACGUUCUCGAAUACAUGGUGAACAUGCGGUGGUUGCUCCGCUAUGCUGCCCAUGAGCUCGACCCGACCGUAGAGCAGCAGUACCCCGACUUCGUGGCUCGGGUGGUCCAGUUGGACAUGGUUCUUUCCAACACGACGUUUGAGCACAGCUGCACACUCGGCGAUGUGCCCUUUGGCAUUGUGCGUCUCGCACGGGAGGCCGUGCUGUAUUUGCUAGUGUCCGAUCAUCUCCUGGGCGGGUGUCCGCCGACUAUGCAUCCGUUUCUGCAGCGGGCUGUCGUGGCGGAGUCGAGCGGUGCAGCCCGCCGCUCUCCCCGAAGAGCACCAGUAAGCGCCGACCUCAACGUGAGUUUUCCAAGCGACGGUGACGGCGACGACACGGACGGCGGUGUGUCACGAACGGUCACAGAACUCGACGGCCGACCGCUAAAUUCCAUCGAUCCUUCCAGCGAAGAGAUGCUGAAGCUAGCUGAAGUGGAAGUCCAGGGGAAAGAGGCGCAGGCGAUGCUACUCUUGCUGCGUUGGCUUUUCAGCGAAGGCGUACUCUCGGAAGACGACGUUUUGGCAACGGUUGAGAUGGACCGCCCUGACGACGGCAGCGUCAACACCCAGGCGGGCCCCCCAGCCCCUGCCGCGACGGGGUACGAGCGGUUUCGCCGGCAUCAGAAACUCGCGCGUCACCUGGCACAGUUGGUGCCGUUCUAUUUCGGCGCACACCUACUCCUGUCGCGCUCGCUGCUCCUGCAGUACUGUUCAACGCUGCUCACCAGGGACGCGGUGAUGCACCACGUUGCCCACCUGCGUUCGGUCGUUUCACGUGCUGCCCCACGUCUCUCGGCAGUUCCACCGCCGUCAAGCGUUGAAGGGGCCCUUCUCGAGUGGCUCCAGGUGGUUGUGGACUCGAUCAACGCAAGCGAGGACGGAGCGGUGGUUCUCGCACGCCUGCAAGACUGUUCGGCUCUGCGUGCCUUCAUUCAGCACGGGCCGUUUUGCGAAGACGUAAUGGACCCGGCAGAUCGUGAUUUCUUUCGUCUCGUGCAGAGCGGCGAAUCGGUGUGUGUAGCGCUGCUGUUCUACUACCCAGAUGCCGUUCCACUCCCAGGGCUUUCGAUGGCUCUGCGUGCGGCGGAAAACAGUGUUGCGAGACGCGAAGACACCGACGCUGGGCUGGAGCUGCUGCAUCAGCAUCUGUCGCUGUGCUAUUGGACCGCCAUCUUAGCGGCGGCCCGGCAGCUGGGCGUGUGGACGCUUCUGAGGGCUGAGGAGAUUGUCCGAUACGGUCGGACGGCGCUUCCGUUGCACCUAUUCUGUCUCAUCCAGCAAUUGUUUGCCGUACUCGCCACCAACGCCGAGGAGGACGUGCGCGUGAGCGCUGACACGGCGUGGUGGGAGCAGAUGGAAAGCAGAGAUGGCCUGACGGCGAUGAUGCGAGCGAAUGGAGCCGACGCCGGCUCAGAUUCCCAAGAGUGGAGUGACACGGCGAAAACGACGAAGAGCAGAGCUGCCCUCUCGGGGGCGCAGCAGGUGCUCCGCAGAUCGAUGCACAACACGCUUUCACCCCCCGUGUUCGCGGCACCAGACGCCAGUGGUGACGGCGCUGGAACCGCGCAGGUUCGUAUGGGGUCUGGCCAUGACGGGCGGCCGCAUGAAAGGCGCGUCGUUGCGCCGCCGUCAUCGACGGGGAGAGCGACGGAGAGUCUUGAAACGGAUGAGUGCCGCGCAGUUCACAGCGGUGUCAACGUGCCGGCUACGGGGGAAGAUGACACCGACGGGGACACAGCACAGUUCUCCAUCGAGGCUGUCCAUACGCAGCGCGGAGCUCAGACCGUUUCGGGGACGGGGCCCGAAGAAACUCUCGAGACGGCUGCGUCCGUGCUACGGCCGAUGGUGACGGGGCGCGGUGGCGCGCUGACGCGCACGAGCGCCCCCGCUUCUGGGACAGCGACAACGACGAUGUCGUUAGACACCCUCACCAUUGCACCGGCUGCGAACCUGCACGAUGGACAGCGGAGGACCGAUUCCCGAGCUGAUGUGUUCGGGGCGCACGUCAUGGACACAUACGCUCGAGCCGAGGAGGAGUGUGUACCGAACUCGGGCGCCACAGCUGCAGGUGACCUCACUGCGCAGCCCGCGCUUGUGCUGAGCGAGCCCCGCCCGACGUGUGCGGACGCGCUGCUUCACACGAGAGCGGUGGACGCUGUGCUCCACGGGAGCGCAACCGCCGCCUACGCGAAACUGCCCACCGCGACCACAGCGGUGGCCGAAGUGCCUGUUGUGGCGGCGCCAGCGCCUACGAAAAGGCUGUCCAGGGAGCGAGGCCACGCGGAGUCGUCGUUGCGCAGUGCUGGUAGCGGCUACAAGGCCAGCAGAGAUGCCCCUGUGGUGGCCCAGCCUGCAGAGGCUUCGCGAGGUACGUCAUCGAUAAUAGCGCGCGCGGCCGAGCGGUCUAUGAGCUCCUCGCUGACGGAGAGCUCCGGCUUUGUUAUGCGGAAGGCUCCGCAAGAUCCCAAGGAGGCAAACGAGGCAGCACGAGAAAUCUCCGACAGCGUUGACUUCUCAGACUCGAAGCACAUGUCGCCGGCGGCGACGACGACGGAUUUCCAGUGCACAGCAGAGGAGUCUCCUUCACGGCAGGCGUUCGCUGCUGGAAUGGGCACUGAGGAGUCAACUGCCGUGUUGGAUAGCGCGAUGGCGCGUCCUCUGCUGGCGAGCACCACCUUGACCAGCGCCGUCAUCCCUGCUGUGCGGAUGGUCGUGUUUCCCAAGCACGAUGCCGAGAAGGGGUUUGAGGAUCCAGAGACCCACGCGGCUGUCCCGAGGCGGAUCUGCGAUGCAGCGUACACAGACCUGUCGUCCUCGCUGGGCUGGCCGCCGACUACGAGGGGCAAAGCCACUGUCGCCGCGCAUGUGCCCAGUAGCGUCGCUCCUGUUGGAGGCUCAGCAAGGUCCCCACCAAAGGCAUCUGCGAGCUCUCUCUCCCGCGAGGACGAUUCACGCAGCUCACAUUCGCGUAAGUGCCCCCGGGUGACGGGCGUAGCAGUCGAGGACGAAUCCAGGGUAGUCUUCCGAGACGAAGCAGAGGCCUGUGCGCGCGCCAUGGGCAAAUAUAGUCCUCUUUCACCGCCGCCGGAGGAGCUAGAGCCGCUUCAGACGCGAUGGCACGAUUGCGAGACCGGAAUGGCAGUCGUAGACCACGCUAUGGUGGCGUGUGACUUGCCGACGCCGCUGUCCCACGAGCACACGCUCCGGCGAGUGGGCGGUGAUGCACUGCCCACCAUGAAUGGAGAGAACACAGAAGAGUACCGCGCCCUGCCCCCCAGUACGUUGUCGCCUUCCCCGGUCUACCCCGUCUCGAGUGCCCGCAGAGGUCAUGAACACGCCAGUGACGGAAUGCGAGAUGAUAACACUCCCCAUCGAAAGGUGAGCGAAGGAGCCGACUCCCUUGAGGUGUCGCCGCUGCCACUGGCGCUGACGCGCAGUCUCUCCGAAGUCUAUGGCACCGAUUACGCUUUGAUGCUCGAAGACAUGGCUGCCUCCGAUGUGGAUCUUCUCCGUCGUCGCCACCGCACCACAGAGGAGAGCUGGUACUCGAGUGCGUCGUGGCCGUACCACCGCAGCUGGCGCGGCGCCGCUGAAUCUCUCGCGAGCGCCAUAUCGUCAACGCAGAACAUUGCGCAAGUGCGAGAGCUGCUGGAUCGCUUGACAGGGAUCAGCCUGACGGAUUUGGCAGACAAGGACAAGCAAGAGCUGUACAAUGCCCUGGCGCAGCAGCAGGCAGUGGUCAAUGAGCUGAAGACUGCGCUCCACGGCGGCAGCACUCACGUGGGUGGCAGAAGGCAGUUUAGCAACGCAACGCACCGACCAACACUCCAGCGCAGGCGCAGAGCGCAGCUGCGGCCGCCACCUGAAGAAACGGACGACCGAGGCGAGCAGGCGUUUGCCCACGCGGGGCGAGCUGUUCGGCGCAAGCCGCGCGACACGCUCGGCGAGGGCGCAGGCACGUGGCGCAGCUUAAUGUCUCCCAUGACGGCAGAGUCCGGCGGCUCUGCCGCGCACACGGUGCAGAGCGAUGUCGAUGGGCAGCUGGCCGAGACGGACGUUUCAUCGCAGGUGAAUGAGCCGCUUCAGUUUUCAGCCUCCACGAGUCUGCCGGCGUCCACGUAAGAUACAGGAUGGGCACAACGAAAAGAAGGAUGCCCGCUAAUGGCCGCGCACGCACGAAGAGAUGGCGUGACGUUCCCCUCGCAACACACCAGAACACAAGCGAAGACGAAAAAAAAAAGGAUGGAAACUCGAGUUCAUGUCUGCUCAGCACUUCCAGAUGCGAGCCCACCCUGCAGCGCCUAAGCAAACUAUAGAGGGGCUCACUCAAGGGACCGCCUCUGUGGACGCACGCCACAUGCGGUGUCGUCUAUCGACUGGCAUGCACACGCUCGUUUCUUUGUGGAUGUGGGUGCAUACCUCUCCGGCGUUUACUGCGCCACUUGCAUGACGUGCACGCACCGCGAGAGGCAAGGAGAGACGGCUUUCGUUUCCAGAGACGUUUGGGACUAUCGGGUUUCUCCAUGGCAGGUCAAGGACGUGCAGGGCACUCGGGUGUCUCUCGUCACCCGUGCGGGCUCCCACACGGGGUGCUUCGUCUCCCUCUAUCGCUUCCUCUCUCUCCCGCCCGCCUCUCACACGGCUUUAAUGCUCCCUGAAUCCGUCGACACGCUGCGUUCACAAG
rnacentral:misc_RNA from 1 species